GUAAGAUUAGUUUAACCAAAACCUUAGAUCGUGACUCUAAAAAUAGGGGUUAAAACCCCCUAUCUUACC
rnacentral:tRNA from 1 species